UCCGGUUUGUCACCGGCAGUCUCGCAUGAGUCCCCAACUAAAUGCUGGCAACAUGCGACAGGGGUUGCGCUCGUUGCGGGACUUAACCCAACAUCUCACGACACGAGCUGACGACAACCAUGCACCACCUGUGCACGGCCCUUACGGACCUCCCAUCUCUGGAAGAUUUCCGUGCAUGUCAAGCCUAGGUAAGGUUCUUCGCGUUGCAUCGAAUUAAGCAACAUGCUCCACCGCUUGUGCGGGCCCCCGUCAAUUCAUUUGAGUUUUAACCUUGCGGCCGUACUCCCCAGGCGGGGCACUUAAUGCGUUAGCUUCGGCACGGAGAACGUGGAAUGUUCCCCACACCUAGUGCCCACCGUUUACGGCGUGGACUAC
rnacentral:misc_RNA from 1 species